rnacentral:rRNA from 1 species
AUUGAACGCUGGCGGCGUGCUUAACACAUGCAAGUCGAGCGGUAACAGGUGUAGCAAUACAUGCUGACGAGCGGCGAACGGGUGAGGAAUGCUUCGGAAUCUGCCUCGUAGUGGGGAAUAACUAGCCGAAAGGUUAGCUAAUGCCGCAUACGAACCACGGUUGAAAGCGGGGGAUCGCAAGACCUCGCGCUAUGAGAUGAGCCGAAGUCCGAUUAGCUAGUUGGUGAGGUAACGGCUCACCAAGGCGACAAUCGGUAGCUGGUCUGAGAGGACGACCAGCCACACUGGGACUGAGACACGGCCCAGACUCCUACGGGAGGCAGCAGUGGGGAAUAUUGGACAAUGGGGGAAACCCUGAUCCAGCGACGCCGCGUGUGUGAAGAAGGCCUGCGGGUUGUAAAGCACUUUUAGUGGGGAUGAAAAGCUCGGGGCCAAUACCUCCGGGUCUUGACCUAACCCAAAGAAAAAGCACCGGCUAACUCUGUGCCAGCCGCCGCAGUAA